AACGAACGCUGGCGGCAUGCCUAACACAUGCAAGUCGAACGAGACCUUCGGGUCUAGUGGCGCACGGGUGCGUAACGCGUGGGAACCUGCCCUUAGGUUCGGAAUAACUCCCCGAAAGGGGUGCUAAUACCGGAUAAUGUCUUCGGACCAAAGAUUUAUCGCCUUUGGAUGGGCCCGCGUUGGAUUAGCUAGUUGGUAGGGUAAAAGCCUACCAAGGCGACGAUCCAUAGCUGGUCUGAGAGGAUGAUCAGCCACACUGGGACUGAGACACGGCCCAGACUCCUACGGGAGGCAGCAGUGGGGAAUAUUGGACAAUGGGCGAAAGCCUGAUCCAGCAAUGCCGCGUGAGUGAUGAAGGGCUUAGGGUUGUAAAGCUCUUUUACCCGGGAUGAUAAUGACAGUACCGGGAGAAUAAGCGCCGGCUAACUCCGUG
rnacentral:rRNA from 1 species